rnacentral:lncRNA from 12 species
AAUAAAGCACAAAAAAAUCAUCCAACAGUAAGAUAAGUAUAAGCCAGCUUACUAUGCCUCCCUGCCAAAACAUUUUUUACUUAGCUUCGGAUACUUUCUGGUUUCUGAAACAAGUCUUCAGCUUUGAUUACACAUAGCUAUUGAUUUUCCCAGUUCCAGAAACAAGACUGCUUUUUUAAUCCNCCGCGCCUCCAGCCAUGGAAAUCCCCCCCGGAGACCGUAACCCGUCAGGCAGAAGUAGGCAAGAAGGGAAAAUAAACCCAGGAGAAUGUGAAAGGGAGGCUUUCCAGCCCGGGCAGGGUUUGCGGCUGCAGCGCUGGCAGCGGUGCGGGGCACGCUGCAUGGAGCACCGCUGUCUCCCGCACUACUGCAUGGAGCACCCCUGCUCCCGCACUACUGCAUGGAGCACCGCUGUCUCCCGCACUACUGCAUGGAGCACCCCUGCUCCCGCACUACUGCAUGGAACACCGCUGUCUCCCGCACUACUGCAUGGAGCACCCCUGCUCCCGCACCGCUGCUCCCGCACCGCUGACUCCCGCACCCCUGCUCCCGCACCGCUGCUCCCGCGCUGUUACGGAGCGCCCGCCACCAGUUGCGCCUCGGAGCUGCAUGUGGAGUGCCAGGCCCCUGCCCCUGCCCUGCGGCCGUGCCCCUUCCCUCCGGCUCUGCCCGUGCCCCUGCCCCUGCCCCCCGGCCGUGCCCCUGCUCUCCGGCCGUGCCAGCUCCGCCGGGCCCUGCUGGCGCGGCAGACCUUCCUGCCCCUGCCCGGUAACAGGCAGAGAUAUCCAUUAAAAGGGCAUCACAGCGGGCGCACAGAAAUACUUAAAAGAACAAGCAGUUUUCAAAAGUAGAACCCUAAAGUGCAAACUACUUCCUUUGCUAUCAUCUGCAAAGUAGUGUUUCCUGGACUUUCCCCAUAUAGGAAAUAACAUUUCUUUCCCAUGGCACAGCCUGAUGUGAUCAUCAGUCUUAUGCUCUUGCCCACAACGUGGGAUACUGCAAUUAUUGCUCACGCAUGUGCUGGUAUCCAUAAACUGCAUGCUUUGCCUUGCUUAUGGGACCUCAGUAUGUCACCUUUCUCAACUGAAUGUCCCCAGGGUUAAAAUGUAUUUUCCCUAAAAUAUACAAGCAUAUUUUUUUUGUUACGGUUUAGUAAGUAUGCCAGCUUUACUGUUGUGUCUCAUUACAGUGAGAUAUUUCGAUAUAUAUUUUUGGGAAGCAAAAGUAGAAAUAUAAAAUACACACAUUAUAGACUAUCAGCAUCCUAACAUGGCAGACUAUAGCUGAUAGAUAUUUAUUUUGAUAUCACAUAUUCCAAGCAAUAUGCUCAGUUAUUGAAAGUUAACUUUCUUAAAGUUUAGCCUUUCCCUGACAUGCUUGCAAAACAACCAGGAUAAAGUGUAAAUACCUGACUAGGAGCCAAUUCUAUGUGAACUCCACACCCUUCAGAGCUAAUUCUUGUUUAAGAAGUCAUCUGUAAUUUUGCACCACUGUACAGCUUUAUUUUUGUCAUUGCUGGUGCAAAAGAGAAGUGUGAUGAAAGGUGCAUAAGCUUUCCUGUGAAAAAUAUUAUAAUUUUAUAGUAUUUCAGUAAUCUAAGGUGUUCUUUGGUGCAGCAUAGUCUUUCUUUAAACAUUUAUAUGGAAAAUGGGGGUGGGGGGAAGAUGUUUUACGUAGGAAAAGAGCUGUGUAAAAAAAUCAAUUUGGGGCAAACAAAGCUAUUAUUUUACUGUGUAAUAGUGAUAUUAGUCUCAAUACUUUUCGUCUAUGCAAACCUUGCAUAACUUUCCACAGUCCCCUCCUUGCUGUCCUGGGGGCAGAGUGAUCAAAAUACAAGGUAGAAUGACUUACCUCAAACUCCCAAGUGAGUCAGUAGUAGAAGAAAGGUUAUGACUCACUCUCAACAUACAAGCUUGUGUUUUUCCCUCUGAAACUGGAAACACAGCAAAGAGCUGUGGGAGGAGCAAUAAUUUAGCCAACCACACCCUGCUUCCAAAAUAUUUCAUUGGAUAAUAAAUGCCUAUGAAGAGCUGAUA